rnacentral:lncRNA from 1 species
GCUAGCUAUCAGAGGAAGUAUUCUAUUUGAGUAUGAAGCAUUCUUCUACUAUAUUGCUUAUUCUGUGUGCUCUGGGCGAAGUAGGCUAUUCCCCCAAGUCCAGGGAAGGGAGUUCAUUUCUCGAAUCACAUCGAACAUGCAAAACUCCAGAACAACAAGUUCUGCAGUCACAUGCGUGUGUCCAUCAGUGUCCAUCUGUCUGUCUGCUGUCUGGAAGAUGCUGACUUCUGUCUUUCCCUGUGGGGAAAUGGAUUUGCUUCUCUCUGUUGAGGAGACCAAACCAGAUCCAGUCCAGAGUUCAGUGCGUCCGUGUUCACUCACUCACUGAGGAUGAGGAGGAGGAUGAUGCCUGAUGAAGAAGAGCAGCUUGAUUAGUCAAGAGAAACAUUUUUCUUGACUUUGUAUGAAAUGCUUUCAAAAAAGAUUCCAUACUUUGUCAACAUUUCCAUGCC